rnacentral:rRNA from 1 species
AGCGAACGCUGGCGGCAGGCUUAACACAUGCAAGUCGAGCGCCCCGCAAGGGGAGCGGCAGACGGGUGAGUAACACGUGGGAACGUACCCUUUGGUUCGGAACAACCCAGGGAAACUUGGGCUAAUACCGGAUACGUCCGUAAGGAGAAAGAUUUAUCGCCAAAGGAUCGGCCCGCGUCUGAUUAGCUAGUUGGUGAGGUAAUGGCUCACCAAGGCUACGAUCAGUAGCUGGUCUGAGAGGAUGAUCAGCCACAUUGGGACUGAGACACGGCCCAAACUCCUACGGGAGGCAGCAGUGGGGAAUAUUGGACAAUGGGGGCAACCCUGAUCCAGCCAUGCCGCGUGAGUGAUGAAGGCCCUAGGGUUGUAAAGCUCUUUUAGCAGGGAAGAUAAUGACGGUACCUGCAGAAAAAGCCCCGGCUAACUUCGUGCCAGCCGCCGCCGUAA